GUGCUCACUUCAGCAGCACAUAUAUUAAAAUUGGAAUGAAACAGAGAAGAAUAGCAUGCCCCCUGUGCAAGGAUGACACUCAAAUCCGUGAAUCAUUACAUAUUUUU